GAGAAAGAGCUACCCACAUACUAUGAAUGUAAGAAGUCAGGGCAUUUGAAGAUUGAUUGUCCCUUGCUUAAGAAAUCCUUAAAGAAGAUGAAGAAAAAAGUAGUGAUGGCCACAUGGAGUAAUAGUACGGAUUCAAGUUCAGAUGAGAAAACCUAAGAAGUGGUAAAUCUACGCCUCAUAGCAUAAGAGGAAGAGAUAACAUUUGAAACUAGA
rnacentral:lncRNA from 1 species